UCGGGCCUUGGUAGCGCAGCUAACGCGUGAAGUUGACCGCCUGGGGAGUACGGUCGCAAGAUUAAAACUCAAAGGAAUUGACGGGGACCCGCACAAGCGGUGGAUGAUGUGGAUUAAUUCGAUGCAACGCGAAAAACCUUACCUACCCUUGACAUGUCUGGAAUGCCGAAGAGAUUUGGCAGUGCUCGCAAGAGAACCGGAACACAGGUGCUGCAUGGCUGUCGUCAGCUCGUGUCGUGAGAUGUUGGGUUAAGUCCCGCAACGAGCGCAACCCUUGUCAUUAGUUGCUACGAAAGGGCACUCUAAUGAGACUGCCGGUGACAAACCGGAGGAAGGUGGGGAUGACGUCAAGUCCUCAUGGCCCUUAUGGGUAGGGCUUCACACGUCAUACAAUGGUCGGGACAGAGGGUCGCCAACCCGCGAGGGGGAGCCAAUCCCAGAAACCCGAUCGUAGUCCGGAUCGCAGUCUGCAACUCGACUGCGUGAAGUCGGAAUCGCUAGUAAUCGCGGAUCAGCAUGUCGCGGUG
rnacentral:rRNA from 1 species